rnacentral:antisense_RNA from 1 species
AGACUCUCAGCGCGGCCGCGGAGCCGCAGUCGCGGGGAGUGGGGUGCGGAUCUUGUGUUUGCGCACGCAGUCGCCGGCCACCUCAGGCCGGAGCUAGAGAUACGGCUCGGGAUAGGAGGGCCCGGCGGCUCUGAGGAAGGUUCGCCUCGAGCCGCACGGCCCGGAGCAGCGGCUCCGCGGUGGUCCCCGGGGCUUGAGAGGGGUGCGGGCCUGGGAGCCCCUGAGGGCCUGAUUUACGGAACUCCCCCUCCUUCCUCCUUUCUGCCGUUCCCUGCUUUGUGGCGGAUGCGCAGGGAUCAGUAGGGACGGCAGCAGUAGGGCCACCCGGGCCUGCCCCGCUUCCCGCAUUGCCCGGCCUGGCGCGCCGCCUCCGGGCCUUGGCAAAGCCCCAGCGCCCGAUUGCCACUGACCAGUGCUUGGAAGUCCUUUACCGACUGCCCGUCAGCGUCCCGCAGAGAGGAUUUUGCGUCUCCAAAGACGCCCCUCUUCCGAAAACAGGCUCCUUUUGUGUUCUCAGUCGGGUAUAUUUUUCUGUCUCCAAACUAGAUUGGCAGCCGUUUUUUGAGAGCAGGGUCUUGCUCUGUUGCCCAGACUGGAGUGCAGUGGCGCCAUCUCAGCUGACUGCAGAUUCAACCUUCUGAGCUCACGAAAUCCUCCCAUCUCAACCUCCUGAGUAGCUGGGGCCACAGGCUGAGCACAGGGUUGCUCCAGGUGGGCCCAAAUGCUGAAGAGCCUCAUGUUAGAGUUUUUCACCUCUGCGAUGGAACUGUGGUGGACUCCAGUAUCAUCAUUCCGGGGAGGCAUAGCCGCACCAACUGUGUUCCCAGGUUUCACAUGGAGAAGGGUUUUAGAAAGUGCAGAUAGCCUUGAAACCACUGGUUUCCUACCACUGUUUAUUUCAGCAUAACUUUUUUUGUGUGGAAUGCUAGCUCUGGAAGAGCAGAAAUAAAUACAGCUUAAGCUUUGAACCAUA